UACGUAGGGUACGAGCGUUGUCCGGAAUUAUUGGGCGUAAAGAGCUCGUAGGUGGUUGGUCACGUCUGCUGUGGAAACGCAACGCUUAACGUUGCGCGGGCAGUGGGUACGGGCUGACUAGAGUGCAGUAGGGGAGUCUGGAAUUCCUGGUGUAGCGGUGAAAUGCGCAGAUAUCAGGAGGAACACCGGUGGCGAAGGCGGGACUCUGGGCUGUGACUGACACUGAGGAGCGAAAGCAUGGGGAGCGAACAGGAUUAGAUACCCGU
rnacentral:rRNA from 1 species